AUCUAUGUUUUUUUAAUUAUUUAUUUAAAUCAAUUUGUUUGAAAGCAUUAAAAAAAUUUUUAAGGUAAGAUUUGUUUUCUACUUUAAAAAAUAGUUUUUUAAACUUUCUUAUUAACAAUCAUUGCUUUUUGAUGUAGCUUUUUAAUAAAUAAUUCAAAGUAUUAAGACAGUGUUGUCAUUAACAUAAUACACUGGUGUACUUUAAUAUUUUAUAAUUUGAAAAUUUAAACAUUAUGUUCUCUAAUAAAAUUUAGAAAAUAGAUGGAACAACUACUUGACAGUGAAUAUUAAAUGUUUUUGAACAAAUUUUGUUAAUAUUUUUCAAAUGAGCUCAAAAAAAGGAAAACAGAAGCGGAAAAUAAACAAUUUAGUAGUCAAUGGGGAAAAGAAUAUUUUUUUCAUAUGCCAAAACUCAUAGUUGAUUUGUCUCAUCCACAAAGCAAAUAUUGCUGUUUUUAAAGAAUAUAAUGUUAGAAAACAUUAUAAAACUGUUCAUCUUGAAUACUCACAGUUCAGUAAAGAUGGAAGGAAAAUGAAGUUAAAUAAAUUCAAAUCUGACUUUAAAAAUGAACAAACGAUAUUCAGUUUAAUGUUUCAACAACCGUCAAAUAUUGUUCAAGCAAGUUAUUCAGUUGCUUUUUACUUGCAAAAAAAAAAAUUAAACAAUUUUCAGAUGGUGAACUUGUGAAAGAGUGUUUAUCAGCUGCUGUAAAAGAUAUUUUACCAGAAAAAAGUGAGCCGUUCUCAAAAGUGUCUUUGUCACGUCAGACUAUAUACCGCCAUACUAAAGAAAUUUCAGAUGAAAUUCAGUUAUGCUUACAAGAAAAACUACAAAACUUCAAAUUUUAUGCUCUGGUUUUUAUGAAAGCACUGAUAUUUCUGACAUAUCUCAACUUGCUGUAUUUGUUCGUGGAAUAAAUUAAUGAAUCGUGUCAAAUUACUGAGAAAAUGCUAAGUCUUGAAACCUUGAAGAAUACAGUUACAGGUUGAGACUGUUCCUGAAAAUCUACAAAUGGAAAUUAUUGAACUGCAGUGUAAUAUGGAACUUAAACUUCUUUUCGAAAAAACUUCAAGGUUUAAAUAGAGAGAGGACGAAAACAAGGACAGACAAAGAGAUGAGGGAUCAGGGAUUGAAUGGGGUUGACAGUGAAGGAUGAAGGUUUUAAAAAUUACAAAAAUCAUAUUAACAAAGUAAAACAUCGAAUGUUAAAACAAAGGUGAAGAGAAGGACGUGGCUGACCCCACAAACCACGUUCUCACACUGAAGACUUUAUUUUUUCCCUUUUGUGUACUCGCUUAAACAGGUUCUUCCACUCUCAACACGCCACAGACUUCCAUCUUUUCCGAAACACACCGUGUGACAGGCAUUUCUUCUCCAGCCUUAUUUUUCCUUUCAUAUGGGAAAGGAAAAAGUCAACCAACCCAAAGCUGGAGAUAAAAAUGCCCGGCACAAUCCCUUUCAAUUUCGUCUUCCACACUACCUCUUUCGCAAUAGCUACUACCGAGAGAAAACAGGCCUGCUCUUCCUUGUUAAGGGAGGGCAGCGGAACGAUCUUAAUUAUAGAUUCGGACGACAGUUGUAGUCUUCUUAGAUGUGACAGCAGAUGUUCGACUUAAGCCCAGAGUUCCGAAAUCUUCGGACAUUGUACAAUUGCGUGCAGAACAUGUUCACUAUCCUGCUCGCAUCUUGGACAAGCCGGCGAAGACGCAGAACCAUGUCUAAAGAGCUUAUCCCGAACAAGUAAAGCACCUCUGUAACAACACUGCCAUGCCAAGGACUUCUGGUAAUUGUCCAUAGGCCCUGGCCUGAAUGUUCGUCGGUACAGGCUGGCGAGUUGACCUUCGUCGAAGC